rnacentral:rRNA from 1 species
AACGAACGCUGGCGGCAGGCUUAACACAUGCAAGUCGAGCGCCCCGCAAGGGGAGCGGCAGACGGGUGAGUAACGCGUGGGAAUCCACCCAUCCCUACGGAAUAACGCAUGGAAACGUGUGCUAAUACCGUAUACGCCCUUUGGGGGAAAGAUUUAUCGGGGAUGGAUGAGCCCGCGUUGGAUUAGCUAGUCGGUGGGGUAAAGGCCUACCAAGGCGACGAUCCAUAGCUGGUCUGAGAGGAUGAUCAGCCACAUUGGGACUGAGACACGGCCCAAACUCCUACGGGAGGCAGCAGUGGGGAAUAUUGGACAAUGGGCGCAAGCCUGAUCCAGCCAUGCCGCGUGAGUGAUGAAGGCCCUAGGGUUGUAAAGCUCUUUCACCGGUGAAGAUAAUGACGGUAACCGGAGAAGAAGCCCCGGCUAACUUCGUGCCAGCCGCCGCGGUAAGAC